CAUCCAGACUCCUACGGGAGGCAGCAGUGGGGAAUAUUGGGCAAUGGGCGCAAGCCUGACCCAGCAACGCCGCGUGAAGGAAGAAGGCUUUCGGGUUGUAAACUUCUUUUGACAGGGAAGAGCAGAAGACGGUACCUGUCGAAUAAGCCACGGCUAACUACGUGCCAGCAGCCGCGGUAAUACGUAGGUGGCAAGCGUUGUCCGGAUUUACUGGGUGUAAAGGGCGUGUAGCCGGGCUUACAAGUCAGAUGUGAAAUCCGGGGGCUCAACCCCCGAACUGCAUUUGAAACUGUAGGUCUUGAGUAUCGGAGAGGCAGGCGGAAUUCCUGGUGUAGCGGUGAAAUGCGUAGAUAUCAGGAGGAACACCGGCGGCGAAGGCGGCCUGCUGGACCGUGACUGACGUUGAGGCUCGAGAGCGUGGGGAGCAAACAGGAUUAGAUACCCGAGUA
rnacentral:rRNA from 1 species